UACGGCGGUCAUACCGUGGGGUAAACGCCCGGUCCCAUUCCGACCCCGGAAGCUAAGACCCACAGCGCCGAGGGUACUGCACCCGGGAGGGUGUGGGAGAGUAGGUCACCGCCGUAA
rnacentral:rRNA from 1 species